GACGAACGCUGGCGGCGUGCUUAACACAUGCAAGUCGAACGGAAAGGCCCUGCUUUUGUGGGGUGCUCGAGUGGCGAACGGGUGAGUAACACGUGAGUAACCUGCCCUUGACUUUGGGAUAACUUCAGUAAACUGGGGCUAAUACCGGAUAGGAGCUCCUGCUGCAUGGUGGGGGUUGGAAAGUUUCUACGGUUGGGGAUGGACUCGCGGCUUAUCAGUUUGUUGGUGGGGUAGUGGCUUACCAAGGCUUUGACGGGUAGCCGGCCUGAGAGGAUGACCGGCCACAAUGGGACUGAGAUACGGCCCAGACUCCUACGAGAGGCAGCAGUGGGGAAUAUUGCACAAUAGUCGGAAGCCUGAUGCAGCAACGCCGCGUGCGGGAUGACGACCUUCGAGUUGUAAACCGCUUUCGCCUGUGACGAAGAGUGAAUGACGGUAAUUGGUAAAGAAGCACCGGCUAACUACGUG
rnacentral:rRNA from 1 species